AUUUAAAUAGUGUAGUUUCAUAACACUUAACAUUUUCAUUGUUAAAACCUUUUUAAGUUUAAAUU
rnacentral:tRNA from 3 species